rnacentral:rRNA from 1 species
CCUACGGGGGGCUGCAGUAAGGAAUAUUGGACAAUGGUGGCAACACUGAUCCAGCCAUGCCGCGUGCAGGAUGACGGCCCUAUGGGUUGUAAACUGCUUUUGUACGGGAAAAAACCCUCGUUCGUGAACGAGGCUGAUGGUACCGUAAGAAUAAGGAUCGGCUAACUCCGUGCCAGCAGCCGCGGUAAUACGGAGGAUCCAAGCGUUAUCCGGAUUUAUUGGGUUUAAAGGGUGCGUAGGCGGAUUAAUAAGUCAGUGGUGAAAGCCUACAGCUUAACUGUAGAAUUGCCAUUGAUACUGUUAGUCUUGAGUAUAUUUGAAGUGGGCGGAAUGUGCAGUGUAGCGGUGAAAUGCUUAGAUAUUGCACAGAACACCGAUUGCGAAGGCAGCUCACUAAACUAUAACUGACGCUGAGGCACGAAAGUAUGGGGAUCAAACAGGCUUAGAUACCCUUGUAGUC